GCUUUUAUGGUCGACAAUAAUGGCGUAAGUCAUUGAAAAUGAAGGUUAUAUUUGUGAUAUAAAAGUGAGGGUUCGAAUCCCUCCCUCACCGCCA
rnacentral:tRNA from 1 species